CAUUAAUAUUAAUCCAGCCACAGGAUCCCCACCUGUGAGGUCCAGAUCGUCCGUUGGUGGUCAAUCAGGUGAACCCCCAGUUGUGGAAGAAGAUGACGCUAAUGCUGGACCAGUAGGCACGGGGAUGGCAGAAGGAUGAUCUUUUGCAAUCAAAGUUAUAUAUUCAUGGUGUAGUAGCUAGGCCCAUUGAAGGAGGGAAUUCAGUACACCUAUGGUUGUGAUAUGUUUUGCUUCGAUCUUUUUGACUUUUUGUUAAAGUCACAAUGCUUAUAUUUUGUUAAGGAAACGUUGCAUGUUUCAGAUUGUCUACAUUUGUAUUUGGAUGUUCUUUACUUUACGUACGCAAUUUAUGAGAACGAGGCCAGGCUUAUUGCGGUCGUUUUUCCUCUCCUCUCUGUCACUGGUCUUCUUUAUUUUCCUUCUUUUUCAACCAUGAGUAGCGCGCGGUGCCGUUGUUCUUCCUUCCCCGACCAUUUCGCUCCAUCUAGUCGCCAUCCUCUAGCGGGUUUUCUGCCCCAACAGAUGUGUCGUUUAUGGAUCUACGGUGGUUCUCAAAUCUAGUACUAUUGAAGUCAAAUUUGUUACCAUCUGUUCAUCUUUUGCUCAGACGCCCCUCACCAGUACCUUCUUCAGCCAGCUUCUAGCUUUCCACCAAUGUGUUCACCAUCUUGUUCCAGCCACCACGCGCCGCCGCGUGGUCCUCGCUUGUGCGUCGAUCCCACACACAGGCACGUGAAUCACAUGCGCCGUCGUAUGUUCUCUGAACUGCUGCCAAAAGCUCCUCCGCCUCGUUCUCUGUUUGAGUUGCUGCUGUCUCCCAGCUUUUAAAUGUUUUGUUCUUAUUGUGAAGACUUUUGUAUUUGAAUUUGGGUUGGUUAAUUCCUUUCUU